GGGACACGUGGUAUCCUGUCUGAAUAUGGGGGGACCAUCCUCCAAGGCUAAAUACUCCUGACUGACCGAUAGUGAACCAGUACCGUGAGGGAAAGGCGAAAAGAACCCCGGCGAGGGGAGUGAAAAAGAACCUGAAACCGUGUACGUACAAGCAGUGGGAGCCUCUUUUAUGGGGUGACUGCGUACCUUUUGUAUAAUGGGUCAGCGACUUAUAUUCUGUAGCAAGGUUAACCGUAUAGGGGAGCCGAAGGGAAACCGAGUCUUAACUGGGCGUUAAGUUGCAGGGUAUAGACCCGAAACCCGGUGAUCUAGCCAUGGGCAGGUUGAAGGUUGGGUAACACUAACUGGAGGACCGAACCGACUAAUGUUGAAAAAUUAGCGGAUGACUUGUGGCUGGGGGUGAAAGGCCAAUCAAACCGGGAGAUAGCUGGUUCUCCCCGAAAGCUAUUUAGGUAGCGCCUCGUGAACUCAUCUUCGGGGGUAGAGCACUGUUUCGGCUAGGGGGCCAUCCCGGCUUACCAACCCGAUGCAAACUACGAAUACCGAAGAAUGUUAUCACGGGAGACACACGGCGGGUGCUAACGUCCGUCGUGAAGAGGGAAACAACCCAGACCGCCAGCUAAGGUCCCAAAGUCAUGGUUAAGUGGGAAACGAUGUGGGAAGGCACAGACAGCCAGGAUGUUGGCUUAGAAGCAGCCAUCAUUUAAAGAAAGCGUAAUAGCUCACUGGUCGAGUCGGCCUGCGCGGAAGAUGUAACGGGGCUAAACCAUGCACCGAAGCUGCGGCAGCGACGCUUAUGCGUUGUUGGGUAGGGGAGCGUUCUGUAAGCCGUUGAAGGUGUCCUGUGAGGGGUGCUGGAGGUAUCAGAAGUGCGAAUGCUGACAUAAGUAACGAUAAAGCGGGUGAAAAGCCCGCUCGCCGGAAGACCAAGGGUUCCUGUCCAACGUUAAUCGGGGCAGGGUGAGUCGACCCCUAAGGCGAGGCCGAAAGGCGUAGUCGAUGGGAAACAGGUUAAUAUUCCUGUACUUGGUGUUACUGCGAAGGGGGGACGGAGAAGGCUAUGUUAGCCGGGCGACGGUUGUCCCGGUUUAAGCAUGUAGGCGGAGGU
rnacentral:rRNA from 1 species